GAACCCAGUUCUGUCUUUCCUUAAUUACUCAUAGCUGCAUCAAUUCCCUUUGUAAUUCUGCAAGAAUCAAUUGAAGAAUAUGUAAGUGGAAAAUCCAUUUGUUGGAUUGAAAAUAACUACAUACAUGAAAUUCAAAGUAAGCAGCCUGCAGAUCGUUCUUCUUCAUAUAUCAAAUUCAUGAAGAUCAAAAUUAAGCGUUAGGAGACGAGGAUAACAAAAUGUGAGAUAUGAUGAACUCCUUCAAAUUUGAAGCUCUUGUCAGGUCAUGUACAUAGCCUUCUUGAGUUCCUGUGACGCAAAGGAAGUAGUUUAUAUUACCUGGAUAAGUGUUACUUCAAGGUCCAAGAGGCAAUCCAACAUGAGGUCCAUUACCAGCUCCGUCUCCACUUUGUGCAGCAAGCCGCAUGUCCUCAAGUUGAGCUUCUAUCCUCACCAUCAUCCAAAAUGACCUCCGGACUAUUUCAAUUGUAGACAUGAGAAGGGCAAUCCAGGUAUUGGUGAAUAAAAUUGUUGACAAUCUCAGCGUCCAACUUCCACGCAUGAAGAAGUCGGCAACUACUAUUACAUACCAUGCCUACAGUAUUUCAAUUGUAAAGUUAAAUGAAUUAAAGCUAAAAUGAAUUAUUUUUCGGUUUAUUCAAGUCAACUAUGUGUAAUUUCGGAUUCUGACCCAUCGUUGUUCUUCAGUGAAAAUUCUAGACCGCGGAACCGGUCUGUCUGGAAUCCGUCUGAAA